AUUGAACGCUGGCGGCCGGCCUAACCCAUGCAAUUCGGGCGAGCGGCGGACGGGUGUGUAAUGUAUGGGGAUCUGACUGAUGGAGGGGGAUAACUAAUGGACACGUUAGCUACUAACGCUUACCACCAGAUGAACCCAUAUGGGAUUAGCUUGUCGGUAAGGUAACGGCGUACAUAGGCGACGAUCCCGAGCUGGUCUGAGAGGAUGAUCAGCCAAACUGGGACUGAGACACGGCCCAGACUCCUCCGGGAGGCAGCAGUGGUGAAUAUUGCACAAUGGGCGCAAGCCUGAUGCAGCCAUGCCGCGUGUAUGAAGAAGGCCUUCGGGUUGUAAAGUACUGUCAGUCGGGAGGCGUUACCGACAGAAGAAGCACCGGCUAACUCCGUGCCAGCAGCCGCGGUAAUUC
rnacentral:rRNA from 1 species